GAUGAACGCUAGCGGCAGGCCUAACACAUGCAAGUCGAGGGGCAGCACAUAAAGUGGUUUACUACUUUUGGUGGCGACCGGCGGACGGGUGCGUAACGCGUAUGCAACCUGCCUCCAACAGGGGGAUAACGGAGAGAAGUUUCCACUAAUACCCCAUAAUAUCAGAAUCGGCAUCGGUUUUGGUUGAAAACUUCGGUGGUUGGAGAUGGGCAUGCGUUGCAUUAGAUAGUUGGUGAGGUAACGGCUCACCUAGUCAACGAUACAUAGGGGGACUGAGAGGUUAGCCCCCCACACUGGUACUGAGACACGGACCAGACUCCUACGGGAGGCAGCAGUGAGGAAUAUUGGUCAAUGGGGGCAACCCUGAACCAGCCAUGCCGCGUGCAGGAAGACGGCUCUAUGAGUUGUAAACUGCUUUUACAAGGGGAUAAAUCGGUGUACGUGUACACCGUUGAAGGUACCUUGGGAAUAAGGAUCGGCUAACUCCGUGCCAGCAGCCGCCGUAA
rnacentral:rRNA from 1 species